GAUGAACGCUGGCGGCGUGCCUAAUACAUGCAAGUCGAGCGAACGGACGAGAAGCUUGCUUCUCUGAUGUUAGCGGCGGACGGGUGAGUAACACGUGGAUAACCUACCUAUAAGACUGGGAUAACUUCGGGAAACCGGAGCUAAUACCGGAUAAUAUUUUGAACCGCAUGGUUCAAAAGUGAAAGACGGUCUUGCUGUCACUUAUAGAUGGAUCCGCGCUGCAUUAGCUAGUUGGUAAGGUAACGGCUUACCAAGGCAACGAUGCAUAGCCGACCUGAGAGGGGGAUAGGCGACACUGGAACUGAGACACGGUCCAGACUCCUACGGGAGGCAGCAGUAGGGAAUCGUCCGCAAUGGGCGAAAGCCUGACGGAGCAACGCCGCGUGAGUGAUGAAGGUCUUCGGAUCGUAAAACUCUGUUAUUAGGGAAGAACAUAUGUGUAAGUAACUGUGCACAUCGUGACGGUACCUAAUCAGAAAGCCACGGCUAACUACGUG
rnacentral:rRNA from 1 species